rnacentral:lncRNA from 1 species
UUGCAAUAAAAAAAGCAUAUACUCUGUUGUAAAGGUGACAUUUGUUCAAAAAAUAGGGUGGAACCCCCGGCAUCAUUUAAUUAAAAUGGAACCAGAUCGCAGCCAGUUACAUAUCUGCUCACCGACAUCUGCCUAUGGCAGUUCAGAAAAGCAAAAACAAAGUAGAAAACUGAAGCUCCAAACAUUCCAGUACCGUACAAAAUCUAAACAGAAAAUACAUGUUUCAAGCUUUAGGGAAGGUGUCCAUAGCUCCAGAUCACUCCACAAGGGCAUCAUCCACAAAUAACGUGAAUCAAGGGAUGCUUUUGUAUGCCAAUAGGUUGAGCACCGUGCAGCUCCCAUGAUCAUAUGUACAAGACAUCUUGGCUUCCUGAAAGAGACAAAGUGGAUGCAGCUGAACUUGCUUUUUUUUUUUGCAGAUAUGAACUUGCAUGUUCAGCUUCCUGAAAGAAUACUAGCUCGUCACAACAAGCAUUUUUUUCCAGAUAUGAACUUGCAGCAGAACAUGCAGAUCAUACCUGAAAAAAAGGAACCUCGUCUAUUUUAAUAUGCACAUCCAAGACGAAAAGGUCAACAAAAUGAUCUGGUUGGACAAGAAUAAAACUUAUGUUGAAUAGAAUUUCAACGAUGCUAGUUAAGAUUUUGGGUACCAGAACAUGACUAUAACUCCUAAAAUCAGUAGUUAGUGUUGAUUGCAAAAGAAUUUGUCCUUACUUGUUGCCAUUGGUUCAAGCUUUUCUUGAACUUAUUGAUUGUUCUUCAUCUUGCAAUCCUGAUAUGCUAUAGAAAAUUUAAAAGGAAUAGGAGUACAGCUAACCUGAAAUUGUUAUGGCUCGGGUGAACAAUCAUCUAAUGAAAUGAAAUUUGUAAUUCUGAUUAACAUGCAGACAAUACCAGAAAAAAUAGGAACAUCAUCUGAUUUCAUAUGCAUAUCAAGACGAAGGGUCAACAAAAUGAUCUGGUUGAAGUUUUAAUUUUUUUUCUUUGCUCUUUAAAUUGAUGGUAACCCCAGCUUCAUCUUCAGAUGGCUCGUCAUCUUGUAGUAGCUCUUCAUCUAAUUUAGAAAUUGCAAAAGUAAACUAAAUGUAUCAAGACAGUGUAUAAAAGAAAUGCAGCAUAACUACAUAAGGCCCAGCUAUAUUGCUUAUAUAGCAACUAAAAGUUUAGUACAGCUACAACCUACAACUCUUAAUAUAUGACAAGCCCAGUUUGGAAUACACUACUACUGCAGGUUCUUAAUAUAUGACGAGCUACAAACUACACUACUACUGUCAGUUGUUAAUAUACAACAAUCCCAGUACUUGAUAUAUGACAAGCUAAGCUACAGCUACAAGUGCCAAUUCUUAGUACACCACCACUGCUAGGUGCUAGCUAGACUAGUCAUUUUUGAAAAAUCCAACUGAAAGAAUUGACUUGUUCUUUUCUGUUCUGUUCUUUUCUUAAUAAGGAGAUACUGAACCAAGAGAAGAGAACAAAAUCUGAACUGAGGUGCAUCUCUAUUCUCUCAAGGCUAACACAAAAUCUUAAAUUAAUUUGAAUUUACUCCAAGUCUUCAACCAAUGUUGCUACAGGCUACAUCAGUCAGCGGUACAACUAGGAUAUGUACAGUGCAGAGCACUUACAGUUCGGAUUGGAGCUGGACGCUGUGGAACAUGGUGAGCUGCAGCCUGCGGCCCGCCGGAUUUGAUGAGCUGGACUACCGGAGCUCGGUGGCAUCGAGCAGGGAGGGUAUGGGGGUGUAGAGUAGCCGAGCAUGGAAGUGCGUUGACCAGGGGAGAUCGAGGAGACACCAAGCGUCGCCGUCCUGCUACCUCGAUGGGGAGGCCGCGGCUGGGAGGGGAAAGGCUGGAGGGUUACUGGGGGAAGGGCGUCGUCUUGCUCUCCCUCUUCGUCCGGCGUCAUCAGCCAGCCGCCGUCGGUCAAGAGGAUGGGGAGAGGAACAGGAUAAGGAAGGAGAGGACAGGUUAUGUUGAGGACUAUUCAGGCAUUUCGA